CCAAAGGCUCUUUUAAGAGCCACCCCACCUUUUCCUGGAAAGAGNAG
rfam:Ophiophagus hannah scaffold733.1, whole genome shotgun sequence.